rnacentral:rRNA from 1 species
UACGUAGGGUGCAAGCGUUGUCCGGAAUUAUUGGGCGUAAAGAGCUUGUAGGCGGUUUGUCGCGUCUGCUGUGAAAUUUCGGGGCUCAACCCCGAACUUGCAGUGGGUACGGGCAGACUAGAGUGUGGUAGGGGAGACUGGAAUUCCUGGUGUAGCGGUGAAAUGCGCAGAUAUCAGGAGGAACACCCGUGGCGAAGGCGGCUCUCUGGGACGGUACUGACGGCUGAGACGCGAAAGCGUGGGGAGCGAACAGG